rnacentral:rRNA from 1 species
GAUGAACGCUGGCGGCGUGCCUAAUACAUGCAAGUCGAGCGAACAGACGAGGAGCUUGCUCCUCUGACGUUAGCGGCGGACGGGUGAGUAACACGCGGAUAACCUACCUAUAAGACUGGGAUAACUUCGGGAAACCGGAGCUAAUACCGGAUAAUAUAUUGAACCGCAUGGUUCAAUAGUGAAAGACGGUUUUGCUGUCACUUAUAGAUGGAUCCGCGCCGCAUUAGCUAGUUGGUAAGGUAACGGCUUACCAAGGCAACGAUGCGUAGCCGACCUGAGAGGGUGAUCGGCCACACUGGAACUGACACGGUCCAGACUCCUACGGGAGGCAGCAGUAGGGAAUCUUCCGCAAUGGGCGAAAGCUUGACGGAGCAACGCCGCGUGAGUGAUGAAGGUCUUCGGAUCGUAAAACUCUGUUAUUAGGGAAGAACAAAUGUGUAAGUAACUAUGCACGUCUUGACGGUACCUAAUCAGAAAGCCACGGCUAACUACGUG